GACGAACGCUGGCGGCGUGCUUAACACAUGCAAGUCGAACGGAAAGGCCCUGCUUUUGUGGGGUGCUCGAGUGGCGAACGGGUGAGUAACACGUGCGUAACCUGCCCUUGACUUUGGGAUAACUUCAGGAAACUGGGGCUAAUACCGGAUAGGAGCUCCUGCUGCAUGGUGGGGGUUGGAAAGUUUCGGCGGUUGGGGAUGGACUCGCGGCUUAUCAGCUUGUUGGUGGGGUAGUGGCUUACCAAGGCUUUGACGGGUAGCCGGCCUGAGAGGGUGACCGGCCACAUUGGGACUGAGAUACGGCCCAGACUCCUACGGGAGGCAGCAGUGGGGAAUAUUGCACAAUGGGCGGAAGCCUAAUGCAGCAACGCCGCGUGCGGGAUGACGGCCUUCGGGUUGUAAACCGCUUUCGCCUGUGACGAAGCGUGAGUGACGGUAAUGGGUAAAGAAGCACCGGCUAACUACGUG
rnacentral:rRNA from 1 species